AACGAACGCUGGCGGCAGGCCUAACACAUGCAAGUCGAGCGAGGACUUCGGUCCUAGCGGCGGACGGGUGAGUAACGCGUGGGAACGUGCCCUUUGCUUCGGAAUAGCCCUGGGAAACUGGGAGUAAUACCGGAUGAGCCCUUUGGGGGAAAGAUUUAUCGGCGAAGGAUCGGCCCGCGUUGGAUUAGGUAGUUGGUGGGGUAAUGGCCUACCAAGCCGACGAUCCAUAGCUGGUUUGAGAGGAUGAUCAGCCACACUGGGACUGAGACACGGCCCAGACUCCUACGGGAGGCAGCAGUGGGGAAUCUUAGACAAGGGGGGAAAACCUGAUCUAGCCAUGCCGCGUGAGCGAUGAAGGCCUUAGGGUUGUAAAGCUCUUUCAGCUGGGAAGAUAAUGACGGUACCAGCAGAAGAAGCCCCGGCUAACUCCGUG
rnacentral:rRNA from 1 species